rnacentral:rRNA from 1 species
UACAGAGGUCCCAAGCGUUAUUCGGAUUCACUGGGCGUAAAGGGUGCGCAGGUGGGUUGGCAAGUUUGAUGUGAAAGCCCCGGGCUUAACCCGGGAAUGGCAUUGAAUACUGCUGAUCUGGAGGAUUGGAGGGGGGACUGGAAUUCUUGGUGUAGCAGUGAAAUGCGUAGAUAUCAAGAGGAACACCAGUGGCGAAGGCGAGUCCCUGGACAAUACCUGACACUGAGGCACGAAAGCCAAGGGAGCAAACGGG